CCUACGGGGGGCAGCAGUGAGGAAUAUUGGUCAAUGGCCGGAAGGCUGAACCAGCCAAGUCGCGUGAGGGAAUAAGGCCCUAUGGGUCGUAAACCUCUUUUGUCAGGGAGCAAAGGCGUCCACGAGUGGACGAAAGGAGAGUACCUGAAGAAAAAGCAUCGGCUAACUCCGUGCCAGCAGCCGCGGUAAUACGGAGGGUGCGAGCGUUAAUCGGAAUUACUGGGCGUAAAGCGCUCGUAGGCGGUAUGUCAAGUCAAGGGUGAAAUCCCCGGGCUUAACGUGGGAACUGCCUUUGAAACUGGCAAACUGGAGUGUGUGAGAGGAUAGUGGAAUUCCAGGUGUAGGAGUGAAAUCCGUAGAUAUCUGGAGGAACAUCAGUGGCGAAGGCGACUAUCUGGCACAUAACUGACGCUGAGGAGCGAAAGCGUGGGUAGCAAACAGGAUUAGAUACCCUUGUAGUC
rnacentral:rRNA from 1 species